rnacentral:rRNA from 1 species
GAUGAACGCUGGCGGCGUGCCUAAUACAUGCAAGUCGAGCGAAGCGGGUACGGGUGAGUAACACGUGGAUAAACUCCUAUAAGACUGGAAUAACUUCGGUAAAACGUAGAUCAACCGGAUACUUAUAGCUGACUCCGCGCUGCAUUAGCUAGUUGGUAAGGUAAAUGCUUACCAAGUCACCGAUUCAUAGCCGAGCUGAUAGGGUGAUCGGCCAUACUGUAACUGAGAAACGGUCCAGACUCCUACGGGAGGCAGCCGUACGGAAGCUUGCGCAAUGGGCGCAAGCCUGACGGAGCAACGCCGCGUGAAUGGUGAAGGUCUUCGGAUCGUAAAACUGUGUAAUGUGGGAAGCGGUACCUGAACAGGAAGCCACGGCUAACUACGUGCCAGCAGAGGCGGUAAUAC